ensembl:lncRNA novel transcript, antisense SPIRE1
AGAUAGUUUUCUUUAUGAAAUUGUAGACUGUGAUUUACAACUGUACAUCUUUUCCUCAACUGGAGCUGGUAAGAAAAAAGUUAAAUAUGUGUUACCCAAAGCUUUUCCUACUUAUGGUAUCCAAAUUCUUUGUAUAUCUGCAAUACAGGAAGCACGAGUCAAAGAUUAUGACUUGGACUUAGUCACUGGACAUGUGGAUUAUGAGUUGGACACAUACACACAAGUAUCUUGACAUACACAUAUCACAGAGGAACUUCAGAGGAAGGGGCUCCUAAGAAAUGUCUGGCAACUGAGGGAACAGGAAUACGUCUGCUGAGGGACACGUUCUACAAAACAAUGAAGUUUGCUGCAUCAACUGCAUUUUCCUUUCAUGAAAAAUUUCUCUGUACCAUGCAGUGGUGUUUGACAGCAUGUUACCCACAGUAGAAUUACUUUCAAAAUCUGAGUCAAUCUUCUCAAACCCUGCCGCUGCUUUAUCAACUAAAUUGUUUCAUAUGAACGUACCCUCCACGUGACCUCUUUAAUGCACUUGGCAAACUCCGUUAAUGCUGUUGAAGAAUGUAUGUUCUGUGCUGUGGUAAGAGGUGAUCGUAAUGCCCAAAUCAUCCAAUACACUAUCAUAAAGUGAAGUGAAAGACAUGUACUAGAUGUUUGCUUUGUGAAUGUGAAUGAAAGUCUUAUUUUGGGGGUGUAGUUUCUUAUGUUUUAAUAAAAACAGUAGUCAUUAUUUUAAAAAGCA